rnacentral:rRNA from 1 species
AUGGCUCCCCGGGUCGCCGUGCUGCUCGUGGCGGCAGUUGCGGCCUCUGCCUUCGCCUCCGCGUGGGCGCAGGACUUCAUGGCGCCUUCGUCGGCGCCCGCUCCCGCGCCGGACACGGGCGGCGCGGCGACCGGCGCCGCUCCGGCAUCCGCCCUUGCCUUGGUGUCUCUCGCGCUGGUGUCCAUGCUCGGGGCGAGGCUGAUGCAGUAG